rnacentral:lncRNA from 1 species
UCAUCUUUUCUCCAUCCCAUUUAAAAGAAAAAUAUAAGGAAAAAGCUUUGAAAGCCUUCAAGCAUUCAACCAUGAUUUAGUAGGUAAUAUCAAAUCAUUUUCUUGUAAUUUUUAUAUUUUUUAGGUCUUUGGAGCUUGAUUUAGAUAGCUCAUGUAUCAAUUUGCAAAACUUUUAAGGUUUUUGAAAGUUUUCAUUGUUGAUUUUUUGAAGAAAUUGGUGUUAAAUUGAUAGAUUUUAAGCUUAGAUAUGAAAAAGGAUUAGAUUAUAAUGUUUAAUUAUCAGUUUUGCAUAUAAGGACUAAAGUGAAUAAAUUGUGAAAUUGAUUUGAAAUUUUAGUAAUAAUAGAAAUUAGAGAGUCCUUAAAGGAUAUAAUUCAGGUUGGUUUUCAAAUCGAAGCUCAACAUUAAAAGUUAUGGUUAUUUCGGUUCUAGGGACUAAAUUGAAUCAAAUGUAAAACUUUAGGGGUAUCGAAAAACAAAUUUUCAUAGGUUCAUUCAUAUCAUGAUUUAAUGUAUAAAUUUUUAAUAUUGAUGGAUUGAAUGAAAUAAUUGUUUAGAUCGAGAAUUGAAUCCAAUUAGACAUAAUCGGGAAAAAAACAAAAAUUGUCGAUUAGUCUCUGAAGGUUACACUUGUUUUCUUUUUUGACCUAGUAAGUUCAUAUGGUAUUUAGGCAUUUAAAUAAUUAUGUGUUUGGUUUGUAUAUGUAUAAUUGAUUGUGAAUUAAUUGUUAGCAAAUUAGUAUGAAAGGUGAGAUUUGGAUUGUAAAAAAAUAUUAAUUUGUGUAAUAGAUGCCCGUUUGAACUUAGUAAAUGUUAGGAUAUGAUUGGCAUGCAAAUAGGGUUUUGAGUAUGCUUGUACAGGGUUGGCUACAAAUGUUACCGAGAUCCAACAUUUGGUGGACUCCAAGAUACAUGUGACACAGUUUUAGCUUGGACUGGUAACCUGAUGUUUUUUUAAAGGUUUAGCCUGGAUAGAUAACCUGACAUGCAUAUAUAUUCAAUUUAGACAAGCAAUCAAAUGUGUCGUUAUAAAGGUUUAACCUAAACUAGCAACCUGACACGAAUAUACUUAGCUCAAACGAGCAACUGGUGUGAUGUAGAUACCUGUGUGUCUGGAUCUGUUUGCUAGGGUUCAUCAGGCGAUACAACUUAUAUGAAAUGAGAAAUUGAAUUAAAAUAAAAAUAACUUGAUUUCAAAUAGAAAGAUGUUGAAUUGAGCGUGAAACACAUGUUUGAAUGAGUAUGUGAUUGAAAUUGUUACUUAAUAUGUGAUGAACUAGCAUAUUGAUCAUUUAUAGCAUCAUAUGGUUUGAUUUUGGUAUAAUAAUCACCUUGUUGAUGUUGUGAUAUGUUAUGUUUAACCAAACUAUUCCAACAUUUUGGUAGCUUAAUAUAUUUAAUGAAAAGAUAAGGUAAGUUGUUGUUUAAUGCCUACGAACUUAUGAAGCAUUCUAUAUGCUUACCCUGUUUGUUUUCCCUUUUUCCUUAUAGAUCGUUACCUUGCAAAACAUGUCAAAUCGGAUUAUCCCAAAGCUCACACUAUCCUAUUACUAAAUCAGUAACUUUUUUUUAUCAUUUUGAGUCAGGGAUUGUGGCAUGUAUAUAAGUGUUUGGAGUAACAUUUAUUAUGUAAGAGUCUUGAUGAGUUAACUUUGGUAUAUGAUGAUUUUGAAUGUGUUCAUGGCAUGAUUUUGGUUAAUGCAUGAAUAUAUAAUGUUUGAUGCUAUUGGAAAGUUGGAAUGUGAAUCCAUUCAUGUUGGUAUACACAUGUUGAUUGAAUGAGAUAAGUAACAGAACUAAUGUAAUGCCUAUUUGAAAUGGUAAGUUUACUUGUCAUGCUUGAGUUUUAUAUUGAUAUAUGGUUGAUUUGGUUUAAGUUUAAAGUCUAUAAGCUAUAAAUGGAGGAAAUAUACACGUGUUUGAAACUAUGGUCAAAUCGCAUGAUUCAAUAUGGCAUAUCAUAUGUAAAUAUAAGUGUUAGAAUAAUUUGUUUGGUAUUUGGUUUAUGUUAUUGAAAUGUUUAAACAUAAUUGAUGAAAUGAUAAUAUAUGUUGUUAUGGAAUUAAAGUGGUAUGUUUGAAUCUAUUUGGUAUGUUUUAGGUAAGUUUUAAGUCAUUUGGAAAUGGCAAGUAAUGCAUCUUUUGAAUGGUUAUAGUUGGAGCAUUGAAAUAGGUACCAAAUGGUUCUCUUUUACCAAAUACAGAGUCCUUAUCCCAACGGGCAACUUCUCUCGUCGCAAUGUUAGUCGACAGUGAGCCAUGUCACGAUGUCGAGUGGCCUGAGAUCACGACGUGACAUACUAUUUUGGCAAUGUCCCGACAUGGAAGAGAUGAUGUCACGACCUCGACCUUAAACUUUUAAAACUUUGUAAUUUGGUCAUAUUUCAUGCCCAGAUUGUCAAAAGAGCUUUCGUAAGCUCGAUUAAGACUCGAAAUGAUGUAUUAUUGUAAUGUAAUCAUGAUUUAUGUUUGAACACAUGUGAAAAUGGUUAUUAUAUUAUGAAUCUGUGUUUAGUUGCUCGAGCAACAAAUAUAACAUCCUGUAGCUCGGACCUGACGGCUAUGUCAGGCAAGGGGUGUUACAUUAUAAAAGCUUCCAACUGAGUCUUACUUCAAUUGCCAUUAGUAUUGGCACUGUUACUAGUGCAAGAGGGCAUGAAUUCGAGUAUGUUGAAACGUG